GAAGCGGUUAGUCGGCACGAGCGCACCUCAUCUUUAUUACUAACAGGUUAAGCUGAGGACUCUGGAGAAACUGCCGUUGGAAAAGCGGAGGAAGGCGAGGAUGACGUCAAGUCCUCAUGGCCCUUAUGGGCUGGGCUACACACGUGCUACAAUGGUAAUUACAAUAAGUCGCGAAAUGGCAACAUUGAGCUAAUCUUUAAAAAUUAUCUUAGUUCAGAUUGUUCUCUGCAACUCGAGAGCAUGAAGUUGGAAUUGCUAGUAAUCGUGGAUCAGCAUGCCACGGUGAAUACGUUCCCGGGUCUUGUACACACCGCCCGUCACACCAUGGGAGUUGGUUUUACCUGAAGCCGAUUUUUAAAUCGUCCACGGUAAGGUCAGCGACUGGGGUGAAGUCGUAACAAGGUAGCCGUAGGGGAACCUGCGGCUGGAACACCUCCUUUCU
rnacentral:rRNA from 1 species